rnacentral:rRNA from 1 species
GUGGGGAAUAUUGCACAAUGGGGGAAACCCUGAUGCAGCGACGCCGCGUGAGUGAAGAAGUAUCUCGGUAUGUAAAGCUCUAUCAGCAGGGAAGAAGACAAUGACGGUACCUGACUAAGAAGCCCCGGCUAACUACGUGCCAGCAGCCGCGGUAAUACGUAGGGGGCAAGCGUUAUCCGGAUUUACUGGGUGUAAAGGGAGCGUAGACGGCAUAGCAAGUCUGGAGUGAAAACCCAGGGCUCAACCCUGGGACUGCUUUGGAAACUGUUAGGCUGGAGUGCAGGAGAGGUAAGCGGAAUUCCUAGUGUAGCGGUGAAAUGCGUAGAUAUUAGGAGGAACACCAGUGGCGAAGGCGGCUUACUGGACUGUAACUGACGUUGAGGCUCGAAAGCGUGGGGAGCAAACAGG